rnacentral:rRNA from 1 species
AAAAUAACAAUGAUUUCCCUAGUAACGGCGAGUGAAGAGGAAAGAGCUCAAAGUUGGAACCUGUUUGGCUUAGCUAAACCGGAUUGUAAACUGUAGAAACAUUUUCCAGAUACACUAGACAAAAAAGUCCUUUGGAACAGGGCAUCAUAGAGGGUGAGAAUCCCGUCUUUGGUCUAAGUAGUUGUCUAUUGUGAUAUGUUUUCAAAGAGUCAGGUUGUUUGGGAAUGCAGCCUAAAUUGGGUGGUAAAUCUCACCUAAAGCUAAAUAUUUGCGAGAGACCGAUAGCGAACAAGUACCGUGAGGGAAAGAUGAAAAGAACUUUGAAAAGAGAGUUAAACAGUAUGUGAAAUUGUUAAAAGGGAACCGUUUGGAGCCAGAUUGGCUUGAUUGUAAUCAACCUAGAAUUCGUUUUGGGUGCACUUGCAGUCUAUGCCUGCCAACGACAGUUUGAUUUGGAGGAAAAAAUUAAUAGGAAUGUGGCCUUUCGAGGUGUUAUAGCCUAUUAUCAUACUCUGGAUUGGACUGAGGAACGCAGCGAAUGCCUUUAGGCAAGAUUGCUGGGCGCUUUCGCUAAUAAAUGUUAGAAUUUCUGCUUCGGGUGGUGCUAAUGUUUAAAGGAGGAACCCGUUUAGUAUAUUUUUUAUUCGCUUAGGUUGUUGGCUUAAUGACUCUAAAUGAC